rnacentral:rRNA from 1 species
UACGGAGAGUGCAAACGUUGUUCGGAUUCACUGGGCGUAAAGGGCGCGUAGGCGGACUCGCCAGUCUGUGGUGAAAGCCCCCAGCUCAACUGGGGAAGGGCCGUGGAUACUGCGAGUCUGGAGGAGGGUAGGGGCAUCUGGAACGCUGGGUGGAGCGGUGAAAUGCGUUGAUAUCCAGCGGAACUCCGGUGGCGAAGGCGAGGUGCUGGACCCUUUCUGACGCUGAGGCGCGAAAGCCAGGGGAGCGAACGGG